UACUAUCAACAUUCAGCCUUCCUUCAGCCUCGUCUGAUUUUCCUGUCGUUCCUGCGUCCGCUUUCUUCAGAAAAAUGAACCUUGGCUGAAUGGCUCUCCCCAGGAUGGCUGAUGGAGUGAUCAAGGGUGCAUUGUUAGCAUUGAGAAGGAGGAGAGAAUAUUCAUGAAAUGUGCCACCAUCCUCCCUGCCUCCAUUCACUGAAAGAUUCUGGGUGGAGACUCCAGCAGCUGUUUGCUGGAUCUUAUAUCUGGCAUGGCUGAACAUUUCCCAUUCCCGAUGCAUUUGACAACUGCUGAUGUCCUUGGGGGAUAUAAAAUUGCAUUCACUUUGAAGCUGUCUGUAGUGAUUGUGCUCAGUAAUUUGGAAUAUUCUGGAAAGACAUUUCAUCUAUAUGACUAUUUAUCUCUGUUAUCCUUUUAAAAUGUAUAAAUCCACAUUAAAGGCUCAGGUUUUAAUAUUUGAAUAA